rfam:Cellulophaga lytica DSM 7489, complete genome.
AGAGAGGUGGCCGAGUGGUCGAAGGCGCACGCCUGGAAAGUGUGUAUACAUCACAAGUGUAUCGAGGGUUCGAAUCCCUUCCUCUCUG